GCGCGAUUAGCUCAGCGGGAGAGCGCUACCUUGACACGGUAGAGGUCGCUGGUUCAAACCCAGCAUCGCGCA
rnacentral:tRNA from 3 species